rnacentral:rRNA from 1 species
UACGGAGGGGGCGAGCGUUGUUCGGAAUUAUUGGGCGUAAAGAGCGCGUAGGCGGUUUAUCAAGUCAGAAGUGAAAGCCUCAGGCUUAACCUGGGAACUGCUUUUGAAACUGGUAGACUUGAGUCCGGCAGAGGAUGGUGGAAUUCCCCGUGUAGAGGUGAAAUUCGUAGAUAUGGGGAGGAAGACCAGAGGCGAAGGCGGCCAUCUGGACCGGUACUGACGCUGAGGCGCGAGAGCGUGGGGAGCAAACAGG